UACGUAGGUGGCAAGCGUUGUCCGGAAUUAUUGGGCGUAAAGCGCGCGCAGGCGGCCUUUUAAGUCUGAUGUGAAAGCCCCCGGCUCAACCGGGGAGGGUCAUUGGAAACUGGAAGGCUUGAGUGCAGAAGAGAAGAGCGGAAUUCCACGUGUAGCGGUGAAAUGCGUAGAGAUGUGGAGGAACACCAGUGGCGAAGGCGGCCCUUUGGUCUGUAACUGACGCUGAGGCGCGAAAGCGUGGGGAGCAAACAGG
rnacentral:rRNA from 1 species